rnacentral:lncRNA from 1 species
CUAAGACAUAUAAUAUUGAAUAGGAUUCUACAAGUCCUAUAUUGGCAACUAAUAAACCUAUUUAUUUUGCAUGAUAUUGUAAUUGAAUUUUGUUGUUUAAUUAUCAUUGAUGAUAAAACUUUUGUCCUUUUCUUAGAUCAUCCAGGGAAAAAUCGUAAUGUGAAGCCUAGUCAAUGUGGUCUUCCAAUGAAAGAUCCUUCCACAAGCCAAGAAUCAGAGAAAGUAGUCAAGACAAAACGAAAAUUAGGUAAAGUUGGUAAUUCCACAAUUUAGGAAGAAAAAAAUAUAUACUUAGGGACUUUUCGGUAUUCAUAUUAACUUUUCCCACUUUCUCCUCAUUUCUAUUCCAGCUUUUAUGGAAAAAGUUGAUUUACCUGCUGCAGAAAACACUGAUGGUAAUUUUCUUUUUUAUUCUCUAUAUUUACAACUAUGAGGAUAAGUGAAUUUUUCACAAAAUCACACAUAGUAGAAGACGUAUCUUGUAGCCUUCAGGUUUAUUUUUUUUAAUUUUGUGUUUUGAACACCUAAUUUCAAACUGCAUUUUUGUACUUCUUGGCUCUUUUCUUCAUAAAGUUUACAUAAAUCCAAUAUUGCAUGUAUUUGCCAAUUCAAGUUAUCAUAUAUGAACCAAUAUCAUAUCAAAUGUCUCCUGUUUGACUCUAAGAUGCAAAGAUAAAAACAACUGUUAGUGACAAGAGAUUUACUUUCUGUGAGAACAAAAAAAGAUAAGUAUCUUACAAGAUCUGGAAUUAAAGCAGGCAAGGGAGAGAGAUAAAAAUGCUCUGAGAAAAGUAAAGGGA